GAAGAGGAGACUUUCCUUCAUUGUAUUCACGAGUGUUGUAUUCUAUAAACAUUUAAUAUUUUUAAGAAUUUUUUUGAGUAAUAUCAUAUUUAAACUUUUAAUAUUUUUAAGAAUUAAGUCUUAAAAUAAACGUCCAUAAAUAUUUUCUAUUUUGUCCGACGUUUUGAUAAUCUACGAAACAAUAUAUCGACCCUACACAUUUUUUAGAUGAAAUUUAGCUAGAUCGAAUUCAAAGUGGACGCUAAGAACCACCAUCCGUGAAGCUGCAUCUCGCAACGCAAGGGGGUUGUGUUGUUGAAAAGAACCACCAUCCGUGAAGCUGCAUCUCGCAACGCAAGGUAUGUGUUAUAUUCUCUAUAUUAUAACCACUCAGCUGUGGAACCCUAAUUAUUUCUAGGAUAUUUUACAAUUGCCUAUAUACAGGGGGUUGUGUUGUUGAAAAUUUUAAAGUUUGAGCAGUAACCCUAGUGGCUAAUAAUUAUAUGCCUAAUAUGCAUGUAAUGGAUCGCAGUUGGAUGUAUGAUAGGUUUAAUCCACAUAGGAGAGGCUUGAAAUUUGAGUUUGUUAGUGGAGUUCAGAAGUUUAGGGUUAAUAGUAAUUCAACCCCUGGAAUGUUGGCGAAUUUUGCUUUUCCCCCUCCCAACCUUUUGGCAACGGUUUUUUCAAAAAAAACGUUGUCAAAACCUGUCUUUGGCAACGGUAGGGGGUAAACCUAAACACGCUCAUAUUACAGCAGGGGGGUAAACAACUAUUAACCCAGAAGUUUAUUAAGAAGGUCAAGGAACAACCCUACUUUUUCUCUGAGAAAAAAUCAAGUGUCCAUGUGAAACGUGCAAGUGUGUAAAGUCUUUCACUCCAAGAGAUGUGAAAGCUCAUUUGUACAAAAGUGGAUUUAAACCAAACUAUUCCAUCUGGACUGAGCACGGAGAACUAGAACAAAAUAGUUCUCCAAUGAAUCAAUCAAAUAGAAGUUAACAUAUGGAGAAGGAUGAGGUUCCUAAAACUCCUCAUAUGGAGUCGUCGGAAGAGGAGGAUCUAAAACUCCUGACAUGGAGGAGUCGGGAGAGGAGGGGAUCCCAACUGCUAGCACAACGCCUACUGCUGCGAUUAAACAGGUCAUCCAGUCCCACUUUCUUGGUCCAUUUCAUUGUUGGAGUGAGAUCCCAGAGGAUGUAAGGGAAUAUUGGUGGAAGUUGUUUGGGGUCAGUUGCAUUUAUUUAAUUUAACUUAUUUAAUUGCUAACUAGUUGCACCUACUUAAUGAUAACUAGUUAGACUCCUUUUAUUUAGGACAAGGUUGCUUGGGAUCCUCAUGCUCACGUGUAUAUCAAAAAGACGUUUUAGUCGAGAGGCGCAAAACGCCUUUCAGAUAUUCUCUCGAAAGUGACGAAGAAAGGGACAAGGCCUCAUUGGAUAUGUGAGGAGGCUUGGAAGGGUCUUAUUGCCCAUUGGGAGGGUGAAGCCUUUCUAAAGAUCUCUACCCAAAAUUAGACAAAUCGGGCUUCAGGUAAAGUGGAGCAGUCCACACCACAGGCCGUAAGGCUCAUGUUGAUGUGGCACUUAGCAUGGCUCAAGAACUAUGAUGAUUUGUUUGAUAGAGGGCAUCCUCACUAUGCUGAUGCCGAUUCGCCAGAUGAGGUCGUACCAAAGCAACAUCAAGUUAACAGGGGACAUCCUCACUAUGACGAAAACGAUUUCAUAGAUAGGGGGGCAUUUUCACUAUGUUGAUGACGAUUUGUCACAUGAGGUCAUACGAAAACAACAUUGGGUUCCAAGGGGACAUCCUCAAUAUGAUGAUGACGAUGAUUUGCUAGAUAGAAGACAUCCUCAUUAUGAUGAUGUUUCACCAGAAGAGGUCUUAUCAAAGCAACGUCAAGCUAAAAGGGGACAUCCUCACUACGACGAUGAUUCGCUAGAUGAGGUCUUACCAAAGUAACAUCAAGCUAAAAGGGGACAUCUUUACCAUGAUGAUGAUUCACAAGCCAGCCGCCGCAAUCGUUACCGUCAUUGAGUUUGAUUUCUUUGAUAUGUAUUUUAUUCUAAGAAUAAAAAGUAUGUGUAUACCUUUAUCUUGGUCUAGACACUGAUAUUCCCAGUCCAGAUUUUGUUCAUCAGAUCAGUUAUUAUAAGCAGCAUAGUCCUAGCCUAUCCAGCAUAAGAAUAUUGUGCAAACUAUAUGGCUCAUGCCCUUCUUUAGGUAUUAUUAGUAUUUCCAAUCUUUUUUUUUUUCAUUUUGACGCUUAAUUAUGUCUCGCUUUGUCAUAUUAUUUAGCACUGACUGUCAUAAUAAUGACAUUACAAUUUAAUUAGCAAUGAGUUUUGUUCUGCUUUUUAAGAUGUUCACUUCUAUGAUCUAUGGAUCAGUUAAGAUUGAAUUAAUUUA